UGAGGAAUAUUGGUCAAUGGGCGCGAGCCUGAACCAGCCAAGUAGCGUGCAGGACGACGGCCCUAUGGGUUGUAAACUGCUUUUAUACGGGGAUAAAGUAUGCAACGUGUGGUUUAUUGCAGGUACCGUAUGAAUAAGGACGGGCUAAUUCCGUGUCAGCAGCCGCGGUAAUACGGAAGGUCCGGGCGUUAGCCGGAUUUAUUGGGUUUAAAGGGAGCGUAGGCCGGGUUUUAAGCGUGCCGUGAAAUGUCGGGGCUCAACCUUGACACUGCGGCGCGAACUGGAGUCCUUGAGUGCGCGGAACGUAUGCGGAAUUCGUGGUGUAGCGGUGAAAUGCUUAGAUAUCACGAAGAACCCCGAUUGCGAAGGCAGCAUACGGCAGCGCUACUGACGCUGAAGCUCGAAGGCGCGGGUAUCGAACAGGA
rnacentral:rRNA from 1 species